rnacentral:lncRNA from 1 species
AUGCAAACGCUCUGGUUUGGAAAAUGCUGGACUUGCCAGGAAAGAAAGAGGGGGGAGGGGGGUAGGAUCCUACAAUUUGAUGAUGUCAGGUUCACAUCCCAAAUGUGGAGCCCUGACCUGGACUCUGCAAAAAAAAAAAAAAAAAAAUCCUUCCCAAGCACCUGCUACACCCUCCUACCAGGGUUGGUUUGGGUAGGGGGUGUUACCAGCUCCUUCCAGUCCACCCAGCCAAGGGAGCCCCUGACCUGCCAGAUGUGGCCUCAGACCCAGGGCUCAGCUGGUGUUUGCUUUCCCGCAGCCUCAGCAAGCCCUCCUGGAGGCGCCAAAAGCAUCAGCAUGCAUCCUGUCACCAAGUUAAUGGUCCCUGGCCCAGACUGUGUGAUGCUUCCAGCCAGUGGCCAGGCAGGGCCCAUACCCCCAGGCUACUUCAUCCACCCUGACACGGGACGGGUGCUGCCCGAGGCUGGAAAUCUGGGUUAUGAUGUGCAGGAAGCGACCCUGGUGCCCACCACUGACCGCAGUUCUGGUGGCGUCCGAACCUCAGAAGCUGCCAUCCUCCCCUACGUGCCCUACCCGCCCUGUCUUGCCACAGGCUCCCUGCCAGCCAUCCGCCUGCCUGUCCUGCAGCUGAGACGGACAUCACAGUCAGGGGCUCUCAUGACGGACCCCAUAACGGGCAUCGAGGUGCCCGUGCUGGCUGUGACUCUGCACCCGCAAACGAGGCAGUGGCUCACUCUUGGGGGGACGUACCGCAAUCCGCUUACCCAGACUCUGGCCCCUUUGGAGCUGGGGGGCCCCAUGGAGGAUCCGGUCACAGGAGACAUCUCGCCGAUCCUGGGAGUCGGGCUGGAUGAAAACACAGGUCUGCUGGCAGCCCUCGUUCCUUCCUUCUGCCCCUCCUCCCUCUGGUCUGGCUUCCCAAGCCCUUCCCCUCAGCACCCCAGACCCUCCACAUUCUGGUCCAGUCUGCAGACUCUACCCCAAGCCUACCCAUAUUUCCACCCUUCAUGCUCCAGCCACCUUUCCUCUCCUU